GUUCGAGGUGGAAGCGUAGCGAUACGUGCAGCUGACGAAUACUAAUCGAUCGAGGACUUAACCAA
rnacentral:rRNA from 1 species